AACCACGAUGCGCAUAUAUGGAGUUUAAGUAAAGCAAGGUUGCAAUUGGAACGAACAUUUCAGAGGGGAGAAAGAAACACUUGGCUAUUGGGUGAUGAGGGAUAUCCCCUGGAACCCUGGCUAAUGACUCCAUAUCGAUCUACAACUGAAGGCACCCAGGAAAGUAACUACAACAUACGUCAUUCAAAGACGAGAAACAUCGUGGAAAGGACGAUUGGAGUUUUAAAGAACCGAUUUCGUUGUUUGUUAGGUGCUCGCGAACUUCAUUACACCCCGCAAAAAGCUGGUCAAAUUAUAAAUGUUGUUUGUGCCCUCCACAACAUUUGUAUAUACUACCGGGUAGAAGAUGUGAACACGCAUGAAUCGGAUUUUGAAAUUCCUCAAGAAGAUGGAGAAGACGAAAGCAUCGACUCAGGUUAUGCUUCUAUAGCACGUAGUAUUCGAAAUGACAUACUUACGUCUUUUUAACGUUUACAAAAUAUUACUCAUUAAAUUAAUAAAAAUAACAGUUUUUUAAUAAUUAUAAA